rnacentral:rRNA from 1 species
CCCCUAGUAACGGCGAGUGAAGCGGGAAGAGCUCAAAUUUGAAAUCUGGCGGUCUACGGCCGUCCGAGUUGUAAUCUAGAGAGGUGUUUUCCGUGCCGGACCGUGUACAAGUCCCUUGGAACAGGGCGUCAUAGAGGGUGAGAAUCCCGUCCAUGACACGGACUACCGGUGCUCUGUGAUACACCUUCAAAGAGUCGAGUUGUUUGGGAAUGCAGCUCAAAAUGGGUGGUAAAUUCCAUCUAAAGCUAAAUACAGGCGAGAGACCGAUAGCGAACAAGUACCGUGAGGGAAAGAUGAAAAGAACUUUGGAAAGAGAGUUAAACAGUACGUGAAAUUGUUGAAAGGGAAACGCUUGAAGUCAGUCGCGUCUGCCAGGACUCAGCCUUGCUUCUGCAUGGUGCAUUUCCUGGUGGAUGGGCCAGCAUCGAUUUUGGUCGCCGGACAAGGGCGGGAGGAAUGUGGCAGCUUGCUGUGUUAUAGCCUCCCGUCGUACACGGUGGUUGGGAUCGAGGACUGCAGCACGCCUUUGGUCGGGGUUCGCCCACGCCACGUGCUUAGGAUGCUGGCGUAAUGGCUUUAAACGACCCGUCUUGAAACACGGACCAAGGAGUCUAACAUGCCUGCGAGUGUUUGGGCGUUAAACCCAGGCGCGUAAUGAAAGUGAAAAGUUGGGACUCUUUAGUGAGGCACCGACGCCCGAUCCUGACGUUCUCUGACGGAUUUGAGGUAGAGCAUGUAUGUUGGGACCCGAAAGAUGGUGAACUAUGCCUGAAUAGGGUGAAGCCAGAGGAAACUCUGGUGGAGGCUCGUAGCGAUUCUGACGUGCAAAUCGAUCGUCAAAUUUGGG